ensembl:lncRNA
CUCAAAUCCAAUGGCUUCCUCAGAAAGACCUCCCUUGACUGCUCAAUUCUAGAUCAAACUUCCCUAUUGGAUGCUCUCAAAGAUAAGAUCCCUGUACCUCUAAGCAUGGCAGUGCCACCAGGAAUUUUGGACUUUAUCCAAAGGCAGUACCUCAGCGGUGAGAGGAGUGGUGCUGAGAAAUUCACUCUCUUAGCUCAAGUCGCCAGGUUAAUGGGGACUUGGGGAAGGAAAUGAGGACUUCUGUUCUGAUCAGGUUCUCCAACCAACCUGAAUCCUCUUUCCUUCCUGAGUCUAAAUUUUUUUGGAAUAUUUCUUCAAAAUAUCUAGACUUGAUCUCAGAAGAUAAUCUGAGAAUGAAGGUUUACAGGCUUGGAGAAUAUCAGCAAAUGAUGACCACGUUUAAAUUUUCACCAACCCCAGAUAUUUAGACUUAGGUUUUAGAAGAUGUAGGGCCAUGAGGAAAAUGUCGACAUUUAUUUAAACAGGAGGAGUGGAUGAGAACAGGACCUGCAGUUGGGCUUUGCCUCUCAUGUUCUUAUGGACUUACAAGGCAGGGGCUGUAACCGAGACUGCAGAGAGGAAAGGCCAGCACAAAGGGACGUACUAAGACCUGAGUAUCAGGCUGCCCAGGUGGCUCAGUGGUAAAGAAUCUGCCUCCCAAUGCAGGAGACGCAGGUUGGAUUCCUGGGUUGGGAAGAUCCCCUGGACAAGGACAUGGCAACCCACUGCAGUAUUCUUGCCUGGAAGAGGAGCCGGGUGGGCUACAGCCCAUGAGAUUGCAGAGAGUCGGACGUGACCGAGCGACUAAACAGCAACAAACCUACACAUCGGAUUUUCUCUCCCACUCUCACUGUGUGAGAGACUAACGCAUUUGCGUGAGAUUCUGAGGAGCAGAGGCUGCUCCAGGAGACACCACAUCAGGAUGAGAACAUUUCAGAUCAGGGCAAAGAUUGCCUGCUCAAAGUCAUGCAGCCCCUGCCAGAGACCCAGACCCAGCUCCUGCCCUCUGCCCCACCAGACCCGUGGCUGUCCCUCUGUCCUGCUGUCUGCUGUCUGUCUGCUGUGCUCCUGGUACCCACAUGCGGGUCAGCUCUCUGUCCACAGAGACCCAUCCCCACGAGUCCUCUGAGAUGCCACUGCUGACCAGUAUGCCAGGGGCAGGAUGUCUAUGAUAAAACAGACUUGUUAACUUCUGACACCCGGUCAAUGAUCUGGUGACUAUAUAGAAUGAGCUCGUGGAACAGAAGAAACUUUAUCUGAUUAGAUGAGGGGAAGGAGUGCUUUUAAGAAGAGUGGAACAAUCUCUAAGGUAGGAAGUUGCCUCUGAUAAAGGAACUCCAAAGAGAUACAACAGAGCAACUUCCCAACAACACAGAUCACAGAAGGCCUCUUAAAUAGGACUAGAAGUUGAAAUUUUCGUUUUAAAUGUUUAAUUUUGUAUUGGGGGUAUAACUGAUUAAAAAUGUGAUAGUUUCAGGUGGACAGCAAAGGAACUCAGCCAUAUGUAUACAUGUAUCCAUUUCCCCCCAAACUUGCCUCUCCUCCAGGCAGCCAAUAAUACUACUGAUACCAUAAUACUAAUACGACUGAUACCAUAAUACUAAUAAUACCAUAAUACUGAGCAGAGUUCCCU